UUUCCGUAGGUGAACCUGCGGAAGGAUCAUUCAUAAUAAAGUGUUUUAUGGCACUUUUUCAAAAUCCAUAUCCACCUUGUGUGCAAUGUUAGAUCUCGUCAAUCUUGGCGAGAUUUUUAUACAUCAACUCAUUUUGUAACUAAUUUGUCUGAAAAUAUUAUGAAUACUUAAUUCAAAAUACAACUUUCAACAACGGAUCUCUUGGCUCUC
rnacentral:misc_RNA from 1 species